rnacentral:rRNA from 1 species
UGCUAUACAUGCAAGUCGAACGCUUCUUUUUCCACCGGAGCUUGCUCCACCGGAAAAAGAGGAGUGGCGAACGGGUGAGUAACACGUGGGUAACCUGCCCAUCAGAAGGGGAUAACACUUGGAAACAGGUGCUAAUACCGUAUAACAAUCGAAACCGCAUGGUUUUGAUUUGAAAGGCGCUUUCGGGUGUCGCUGAUGGAUGGACCCGCGGUGCAUUAGCUAGUUGGUGAGGUAACGGCUCACCAAGGCCACGAUGCAUAGCCGACCUGAGAGGGUGAUCGGCCACAUUGGGACUGAGACACGGCCCAAACUCCUACGGGAGGCAGCAGUAGGGAAUCUUCGGCAAUGGACGAAAGUCUGACCGAGCAACGCCGCGUGAGUGAAGAAGGUUUUCGGAUCGUAAAACUCUGUUGUUAGAGAAGAACAAGGAUGAGAGUAACUGUUCAUCCCUUGACGGUAUCUAACCAGAAAGCCACGGCUAACUACGUGCCAGCAGCCGCGGUAAAAAAUUCC